CAGGAACCAGGGAGAGGGAGGGCUGCUGUCCUUGUGGCUGCCUGCAGGGGGCACCUGUCUGGGACCCGGCUGCUGGAGUGGAAAGGAUCUCACUAUGUAGCUCAGAAUUUAUUUCCUCUCAUCUGGAAGCUGUUCCUGUCUCAUCUGUGACCAGAGGAUUCAUGGGCUCCUCCCAGAACUUGAAUGUCCCAGCUCUUCCUGGCCUGGGCCUUCCCACUCAAAGCCUCACAGCCAUGACUCCGUUACAGUAACAGCAACACUCCAACUGGCUUUUUUUUUGGUACUGGGGAUCGAACUCAGCGAAACCACUGAGCUAAAUUCCCUCCAACUGGUUUUUGAAGGAAGGAGCUCAAAACGGCAUCUUCACAGGGGAUCCCUCCUCGGAUCUGCAGCCUCUGUCCACCUCCUUCCCAGUCUCCCACUUCUCCACUGGGGACGUGGGGCUUCUCAGCCUCCCUCUCUCAGAAAGUCCUGGCGUCAAAGUGGGCGUGGUAACGCAUGCCUG
rnacentral:lncRNA from 1 species